UAAUACAUGCAAGUCGAACGAGGUGCUUUUGUAGUAAUACGGAGAGUAUCCUAGUGGCGAACGGGUGAGUAACGCGUGUGGUGACCUACCCCAAAGUGUGGGAUAACAGUUCGAAAGGAUUGCUAAUACCUCAUGUGGUCUUCGGAUUUAGAAACUGAUGACUAAAGGAGUAAUCCGCUUUGGGAGGGACCUGCGUCCCAUCAGCUAGUUGGUGAGGUAAUGGCUCACCAAGGCUACGACGGGUAGGGGACCUGAGAGGGUGACCCCCCACAAUGGAACUGAAACACGGUCCAUACACCUACGGGUGGCAGCAGUAGGGAAUAUUGCACAAUGGGCGAAAGCCUGAUGGUGCGACGUCGCGUGAGGGAUGAAGGCCUUCGGGUUGUAAACCUCUGUCACCGGG
rnacentral:rRNA from 1 species